AUGUAAUGUAAUGCCUACAAUUUUAAUGCAUCAUAUCCCAUUACAAAUCCACAUUUAAGUGUGCUUGGGAUAGAUUAGUACUGGGAUGGGUGACCUCACAUGAAAUCCUAGUGUUUUACAUG
rnacentral:rRNA from 1 species